GGACUUAAAAUCCUCAGUGGUAGAAUACAACCUUGCCAAGGUUGGGGUCGCGGGUUCGAAUCCCGUCUUCCG
rnacentral:tRNA from 1 species